rnacentral:rRNA from 1 species
UGGGGAAUUUUGCACAAUGGGGGAAACCCUGAUGCAGCGACGCCGCGUGAUUUAGAAGGCCUUCGGGUUGUAAAAAUCUUUUUUAUGGGAUGAAAAUGACAGUACCAUACGAAUAAGGACCGGCUAAUUACGUGCCAGCAGCGGCGGUAAUACGUAAGGUCCGAGCGUUGUCCGGAAUCAUUGGGCGUAAAGGGUACGUAGGCGGAUAAGCAAGUUAGAAGUGAAAUCCUAUAGCUCAACUAUAGUAAGCUUUUAAAACUGCUCAUCUUGAGGUAUGGAAGGGAAAGUUGAAUUCCUAGUGUAGCGGUGAAAUGCGCAGAUAUUAGGAGGAAUACCGGUGGCGAAGGCGACUUUCUGGCCAUAUACUGACGCUGAGGUACGAAAGCGUGGGUAGCAAACAGG